CUGGGAAACUGCCUGAUGGACGGGGAUAACUACUGGAAACGGGAGCUAAUACCGCAUAACGUCACAACACCAAAGAGGGGGACCUUCGGGCCUCUUGCCAUCUGAUGUGCCCCGAUGGGAUUUGCUCCCGCGUGGGGUAACGGCUCACCUAGGCUACCAUCCCUCCCUGGUCUGAAAGGAUGACC
rnacentral:rRNA from 1 species